AACGAACGCUGGCGGCGUGCCUAACACAUGCAAGUCGAACGAGACCUCCCGGUCCUUUUGCGUACGGGUGCGUAACGCGUGGGAACCUGCCCAUAGGGUCAGAAUACCUCCCCGAAAGGGGUGCUAACACCGGAUAAUGUCUUCUGACCAAAGAUUUAUCGCCUCUGGAUGGUCCCGCGUUGGAUUAGGUAGUUGGUUCGGUAAAAGCCUACCAAGGGGACGAUCCGUUGCUGGUCGGAGUGGAUGAUCAGCCAAGCUGGGACUGAGACACGGCCUAGACUCCUACGGGAGGAAGGAGUGGGGAAUAAUGGACAAUGGGCGAAAGCCUGAUGCAGCAAUGCCGCGUGAGUGAUGCAGGCGUUAGGGUUGUAAAGCUCUUUUACCCGUGAUGAUAAUGACGGUACCGGGAGAAUAAGCGCCGGCUAACUACGUG
rnacentral:rRNA from 1 species